rnacentral:rRNA from 1 species
GGUGAGUAACACGUAUGCAAUUUGCCUUUAACUGGAGGAUAGCUUCGGGAAACCGUAAUUAAUACUCCAUAGUAUUCAAAAGACGCAUGUUUUUUGAAUUAAAGCUCCGGCGGUUAAAGAUAAGCAUGCGGGACAUUAGCUAGUUGGUAAGGUAACGGCUUACCAAGGCGACGAUGUCUAGGGGGUUUGAGAGGAUGAUCCCCCACACUGGUACUGAGACACGGACCAGACUCCUACGGGAGGCAGCAGUGAGGAAUAUUGGGCAAUGGGCGCAAGCCUGACCCAGCCAUGCCGCGUGCAGGAUGAAGGUCCUAUGGAUCGUAAACUGCUUUUGUAUGGGAAGAACUUCCCGCAUUCGUGCGGGAUUGACGGUACUAUACGAAUAAGGACCGGCUAACUCCGUGCCAGCAGCCGCGGUAAUACGGAGGGUCCAAGCGUUAUCCGGAUUCACUGGGUUUAAAGGGUGCGUAGGUGGAACGAUAAGUCGAUGGUGAAAGCCUACAGCUUAACUGUAGAAUUGCCAUUGAUACUGUUGUUCUUGAGUAUAGUCGGGGGAAGUGGAAUGCGUAAUGUAGCGGUGAAAUGCAUAGAUAUUACGCAGAACACCGAUCGCGAAAGCAGCUUCCUAGGCUAUUACUGACACUGAGGCACGAAAGCGUGGGGAGCGAACAGGAUUAGAUACCCUGGUAGUCCACGCCGUAAACGAUGCUCACUCGCUGUUGGCGAUAUAUUGUCAGCAGUUAAGCUAAAGCAUUAAGUGAGCCACCUGGGAAGUACGUCCGCAAGGAUGAAACUCAAAGGAAUUGACGGGGGCCCGCACAACCGGUGGAACAUGUGGUUCAAUUCGAUGAUACGCGAGGAACCUUACCUGGGCUUAAAUGUAGUUUGACUUCCGCCGAAAGGCGGUUUUCCUUCGGGACAAAUUACAAGGUGCUGCACGGCUGUCGUCAGCUCGUGCCGUGAGGUAUCGGGUUAAGUCC